CGUAGUUACUUUGUUGCGCAUCAUUUGGUUUUCAAAACAUUGUUCCUGCUUAUUGUUGCCAGCCAUUUGCAUCUCAGGAUCAUUGUUGCUAGCCAUCGGGAUCGCGAAACAUUUGUUGGACUCAUUGUUGCUGGCGCUCACCAUCUGCCUCUCAGAACAUUGCUCGAUCUCAUUUUUGUUGUUGACAUUCAUUUUACAAGAUCCCGUUACUUUUCGCGAACCUUCUGUUUCUUGCAUUCCUUUGUAUGUAUGUGCAAACGUCGCCGUCAACGGGUCGCCGUCGUUGUCGCUGCCUCUUGCUGUCUCGUUUUCGCUACUUUCUUCUUAUCCGUUGUAGUUGUUUGCAUCCUUGUCCAAUUUACUGGUUUGUUCUGUGGCGUUGAUUUUUUUCAUUGCUGUUUUAUUUUUUCAAUACGCGGCCAUACUCAAAUUUAAUAUAUUCAAGUCUUUUAAUCAAUUCGAUUUUUGUGCCGCUACUUUUAAGUUUUUUUUUGCACGCACAGAGCUUUUAGUUCAUUUAAUGUAUAAUUGCCAGGAUUACAAUUCAUUAAUGCCGAUUUUUCUUUUUCUUUUGAAACGAUCACUUGGGUAGGUCCUACCACUUCUGAGCUUUAGAGUGCUCUCCGCGACAGCUCAACGACGACUGACUCUACAUUUAUUCAGCACGUGUGUAUAUACUAUUUACAUUCGCGAUUCUUAUAAUUAGUUCUUAAAUUCUAAUAUUGCAAUGGGGCUUAUACUACUUAAAAGCCUUAUAUACUUAUAUACAAUUACUACUACUACUUCUACUACUACACAAUCAAAUCUUUAGCUUGUCGAAGCAGCCAGACUAACACUUCCUAGCUUGAGAUCGACGGCUGCACACAAUUUUUGAAGAUCGAUAACGUUACCAAAGGGGGAAAUCGCCCUGAAGAACAUAGCUAAAUGGACACGCCUAAGCACUGCAAGAGAUCUUAGUCAUCAGCUUUGGGACCAAGGUUGGAGCAGCAGUCUUUCGCCUGGACUUGGCCCCACACCCAGUGAAGUGUUAAACGCCUUUUCAGUGGCUAAGCUGGCCUCUGCUAAUGUUUUUAUUGCGCAGAAACAACUAGAGACUGCAAAGGAAAAUGUGUUAAAUCAACAAAGAAUAGCCACUGAAAAGCAAACACAAGCUUUAAUAUUGAAACAAAAGUCUCAAGCAGCGUCUGCUAUAUACCACUCUGCGGCUAUUGAACGACAUCUUGCAGCAUCCAAGUCAGCGGUGGCACGUGCAGCUGCUAAUUUUGCUGCGGCUGAAAUUAAAAAAACUAAAAAUGAAGCUGCCAAGCUUGGCCACAUUACUCGAAAUGGUCAGCACGUUUUAUCCUUAUCGCCAGCAAGCAAUCAUUUGUCUAUAUCGUAUCUACAACCGGUUCACUUCAGUUCAUGGCUUAAUGGUCAGAGUCAUUUUUCUUAAAAGCUAUAAAAUAAACAAAACAUAUAUUGAAAUAAUCAAAAUAUCUCAUUUAGUUAUUUAAUGUAAAAGAUAUUCAUCCAUCAU